rnacentral:lncRNA from 1 species
GUUCCUUUCUUCCAAACACCACCACCAUUUUGAUCACCACCCCUUAACUCAUCAGUUUCCACAUCUUUCUCUCUCUAGCUCUCUGCCUAUAGUUUGACUUACUAGUUGUUGUGUCAUCAUUACCUCAAUUAUUGAGCUUGAUGUACUGCACGGGGACAAGUGUCAUCCCAUCUUUGGCCCACGAGCUGAAUGACCUCCACAGUGCCACCAUCAGACCAGCGUUUGUACCCUCGCUUGCUUCCUUGCUUUAUCUCAUUGCAACCCCUGGUUCUCUCUCUCUCUCUCUCAUACAUACAGACACACAC